rnacentral:lncRNA from 1 species
AAAAAAUCAGCUUUGACCUUGAAUAGUUUACAGCCCAGUUGAGAAGACAGUCCAGGACACACACAGCACACUAAGGAGACAAUUUAAGACAAGCUGAGAUGGCUUCACCCGGAUGCCAGCAGUUCCUCCUUGCCGGAGAAGAUCUGACCCGGCAGAGGCAGCCGGAGAGCAAAACCGGCCCCCAGCUGAAGAGCCAGCUGCAGCUGGACAGAUGGUGCUUGAGUGCCGAGGCCCAGGGAUUCUCCGGCCACAGUCCAGCCCAGCCACUGCCACUGCCACUUUCCAUGGGACUUGGAACUUCGGAGCUGUGUGCUGUGACUGGAUGAAGGACCUGGGGGGCGGCAGCCAUCGACAGCCCCUUUUGUAGCCAGGCUGUUCUAUGGGCAAUGAGUGGAAAUGCAGGAUCCAACCUCCAACCCUCCUUCUUAAAAAAAAAAAACAAAAGUCCCAGAAAACAGGCAAAAAUUGGAGUGCCCGAAAGGGCAGGAUGACCCUACCAGAGGCUCUUUUGCCUGAAGGUAGAGCCCCUGCCCUUGCCCAUCUCUCCUGCUGAGCCACAGACACUGCCUGGUCCCCACCCCUGACCCCAGCACCCUCUGGGCACCUUGGUCCCUUUAUUCCCACGGCCUCCUGCAUCUCAGCCUUUCCUGGGGCCGCUAACCCUCAGCACAACCCCUGCACAGAGCUCUUGGUGGGGGAGCCCUGGGCAGUCACUUGGGCUCCCUCUGAGGAGUGAUGGGCCCCCGAAGAGAGGUAUCUGCUGACUGCCCUGCCUGGGCCCCUCUGGCUGCCUCCGUUAGGGGCUGGCUAGGGCCCCCAGCAGGGAUGGGGAGGGUGGCCACCCCGGAGCUGGAGGACUUUUGCUAGGCAGGGGGAGUCUUUGGCAGAAGACAAAAGCCAGUUCUGGAUGGGACCUUGAAGUCACACAACAGUGAGGGCUCACAGGAGCUCUGACCCCCCCCUGGCUGGACUAGAAGUUCUUCUGCCACUAAGGGUGGGCAGCAGCGGGUUCUGAAGUGAUCCUGGGGAAGGUGCAGGACUGAGAAGCAAGGUGAAGAGGCUGCCAGCCUGGGUGGGAGGCCUGGGGCAGAAGGGCUUGCUGGGUGCCCCUUGCCGAGAGAGCGCGACAAGGUGAAAGAUCCGAGGAGGAAAACUCUCGGUUCUACAGAGCUUACCGACACCAACCACUGCCAGCGGGAGGGAGGCUGUCCCCGUCUCUCCGGCCGCCGACGCGACGGGAACACGCUGACCUCUCUCUCCGGAAAGCCGGGAAGCCUAGGCAGGCACGAGGCUUCGGGCCCCCGGAGUGUGGAACCAGCCCAGCCCGACCGCCCGGGGUUGGAGCGGGAGCCAAGCCUUGGCGGGGCCCCGGCGGCCGCAAGUCACCCCGAGAUAAUGAGGGCGCGGCAGCCGCCCAGGGCCAGCGGCGGAGGCCAGACCGCGAUCGCGCCGGCCCGCCCGCCGCUCCGG